rnacentral:rRNA from 1 species
CUAGCAAAUCCCAUAAACCGUGGCUCAGUUCAGAUCGUAGGCUGCAACUCGCCUACGUGAAGUAGGAAUCGCUAGUAAUCGCAGGUCAGCAUACUGCGGUGAAUACGUUCCCGGGCCUUGUACACACCGCCCGUCACACCAUGGAAGUUGGCCAUGCCCGAAGUCGUUACUCCAACCCUUGUGGAGGAGGACGCCGAAGGUGGGGCUAAUGACUGGGGUGAAGUCGUAACAAGGUAGCCGUACCGGAAGGUGCGGCUGGAUCACCUCCUAA